rnacentral:rRNA from 1 species
UACGUAGGGUGCAAGCGUUAAUCGGAAUUACUGGGCGUAAAGCGUGCGCAGGCGGUUCGCUAAGACAGAUGUGAAAUCCCCGGGCUUAACCUGGGAACUGCAUUUGUGACUGGCGGGCUAGAGUAUGGCAGAGGGGGGUAGAAUUCCACGUGUAGCAGUGAAGUGCGUAGAGAUGUGGAGGAACACCGAUGGCGAAGGCAGCCCCCUGGGUCAAGACUGACGCUCAUGCACGAAAGCGUGGGGAGCAAACAGG